rnacentral:rRNA from 1 species
CCAAUAGCGUAUAUUAAAGUUGUUGCAGUUAAAAAGCUCGUAGUUGAAUUUUGGGUUUGGCCGAUUGGUCCGUUCUUGUAGCGAGUACUGGUCGGUUGGGCCUCACCGCUUGGGGAAGGGUAAUGUCCUUUAUUGGGUGUUGCUCGGAGCCAAGACCUUUACCUUGAAAAAAUUAGAGUGUUUAAAGCAGGCUUAUGCCGGAAUACAUUAGCAUGGAAUAAUAGAAUAGGACAACGAUUCUAUUUUGUUGGUUUCUAGGACCGUUGUAAUGAUUAAUAGGGAUAGUUGGGGACAUUAGUAUUCAAUUGUCAGAGGUGAAAUUCUUGGAUUUAUUGAAGACUAACUACUGCGAAAGCAUUUGUCAAGGAUGUUUUCAUUAAUCAAGAACGAAAGUUAGGGGAUCGAAGACGAUCAGAUACCGUCGUAGUCUUAACCAUAAACUAUGCCGACUAGGGAUCGGGCGAUGUUGUUUCAAUGACUCGCUCGGCACCUUAUG